UGGCUGUGAUGGUCAUCUGGUUGGAAAGUUGAGGGUUCUCCCUUUGCCAAGACUGUUUGCUGGGCUUCUGGCUUGGCAGUGUCCGCGGUGUCGAGUUCGAACUUCCUGGUGCGCGUUUCCCGUCGGGCCGAGUAAUCACCCAGCACGGGCGCGUGUAAAGUUGGAGGGUAUUUGUGAGGGUGGAAACACCGCAGCAGCCCCUCCACCAGAGAGUGGCGUCAACACGGUAGCACCUGCGGUCAUAUGGGUACUGGUAUUGGGAGGUUUGGACUCCGCUAACCAAUUUUU
rnacentral:SRP_RNA from 1 species